UACGGAGGGUGCGAGCGUUAUUCGGAAUUACUGGGCGUAAAGCGUACGUAGGUGGCGACGCAAGUCGGGCGUGAAAGCCCCGGGCCCAACCUGGGAAUUGUAUUCGAGACUGCAUUGCUGGAGUACGGAAGAGGAAGACGGAAUUCCCGGUGUAGCGGUGAAAUGCGUAGAUAUCAGGAGGAACACCGAUGGCGAAGGCAGUGCUCUGGGCCGUAACUGACGCUGAGGAGCGAAAGCGUGGGGAGCGAACAGG
rnacentral:rRNA from 1 species